GGGGGGGGGGGUUGAGGGGAACGUGAGGAGGGAGGGAGGUUGCGGGAGAGAGGAUAGGAUUUCAUUUCUUUUGUUUUCUCGGGAGUUCGGGAACAUCUGAUCGUGCGUAUAUAGGGCAGACCGUGCAUAUACACACACAUAUAUAUAGGGUUGGGCUAUUCUGUUGCCCGUAUCAGAAUAUUAUUCUGUUACGCUCAGCUCUAUAUAAGAGCGAUCCGACUAAUCUGAAACUAACAGGAAAAAUGUGUCCAUCUCCCCAACCCGAUCCCCCACCAUCGCCAUGACCACCUACUCUAGCGCGCCUCCGCCGGCCCCCUCCCCCAGCGCGCCGCAGCCGGCCCCUUCCCCCAGCGCGUCUCCGCCGGCCCCUGCCCAGUGCGCCGCAACCGGCCCCCUCCCCCAGCGCGCCUCUGCCGCCCCCUACUCCAACGCGCCACCGCCGGCCCCCUACUCCAACGCGCCGCUGCCGUAAACCUGCCGGGCGCGCCGCCGCCCCCUGCCCCAGCACGCCACCACAACGACCUCCCUUUCCCAGUGCGCCGCCGCAGGCCCCCUGGCCCAGCGCACCACCACCACGACCUCCCUCCCCCAGUGCGGUGCGGCCUAGCCCCUGCCUCCGAGCGUCGCCGGUCUUCGCGCACAACUAUCCCACUGCUGCCACACACACCAACUCUGUACUGAGGCUAGCACGGUGGUCGAUCACCGAGGGAUGGCCGGUCCUUGCCAUCGGCGGCCGCACUCCCGAUGUGUCAUGAGCGAUUGCGCCCAUAGAGGCUUGCUCCCAUCAUCCUCCUCCUCCCAGAGUACGAUGUCAAUGGCGACAACAUCCAGUAGGUCCUCUUGUGCCUCUACUCGCCCCGCUUUCACCACCGGCCAGUCGUGCAAAGCCAUGUAAAAAUGUUCAGGAGUAUAAAUGGAUUUUCUUCUUGUUGAACUAAGUUGAACAUGUCAUUAUGCGUCACGGCUGGGGGUGGGAGGCGUGCGGCGGCCGGAGGUGGGAGGCCGUUCAACUUUGCGUCUUUCGCUCGGCCAGCGCUCGACGAGGGGCACCCCGGUCUCGCUCGUGUGUGGGUUUUGGAGUAUAUUCUACCGAUGUGUUCUGCUCUCCUCUAUUUUCAACUAAAUCGUGCUGCCAUGUGUGGAUUUCCCCUCUAACUCCACAACAAGUUGAAUCCUGCAAAUUCUACUGGUAAGUGCAAGAUUCAGUACUGUCCAUUUUGAUUUUCUAUAAAGAAGGCCAAUCAUUCUUGUUGCUUCACAUAUACUAGUAUACGGGAGUACUAGAAUCCAUCCACGAAACAGUCAAGCAACCAUGGAUAUCAGCCCACCACUGUGUUGCGGAUGUGAUCUUUGUGCGCUUUUGAGUAUUGUAAAACAAUUGUAUGCUUCUGGUUGCUGCUUGCUGCCACUGCCGAAUUGUGUAGGUGCAAAAAGUUUCAUAUCGCAAGUUCAAAGAGGGUUGUAUGCAAGUUUAGAAGUUUGUUUGGAGCAUCUUUAGGUGUUUGUUGUAAUGUAGAAAAGAGUUUUUAAUACCGAAAACAAACCUAGUGAAAAAAAUGUCCAGGCGACCAUCAUGCCUGCCUCCUGACCCCCGCCAUCAGGUCGCGGCCUCUUCCGCCGUCAGGUCGCAGCCUCUUUUGCCGUCAGAUCGCAUCCUCUUCCUUCUGCAGGUCGCCGCCUCCUGCUGCUGCAGGCCAUGCCCCAUCCCCCAUUCUCGCAUGGUCGCCAACGAGGUAUCCUACUACAACAGUGGUCACCGCCCAGAACUCUCUCCGGUUAAUUUUGAUCUACUUUUGCACAUUUGUUCUUUAUCUCACGAAUUUUGUUAUGUAGGAGAUGAACAAUUGUUGAUCCUGAA